rnacentral:tRNA from 1 species
GCCGAGAUAGCCUAGCCAGGUAAGGCGCGGGACUUGAGAUCCCGUGGACUUUGUCCUCAUGGGUUCAAAUCCCAUUCUCGGCG